UUUCCGUAGGUGAACCUGCGGAAGGAUCAUUAUUGUGUAACCGAGGUGCGAGGGCUGUCGCUGACCCGAAAGGUCGUGCACGCCCGAGUGCCCUCACACACAUCCAUCUCACCCCUAUGUGCACCACCGCGUGGGUCCCCCUUUGGCUUGUUCGGAGGGGGGCUUACGUUUUCACACAAACUUUGUAUGCAGUGUAGAAUGUAUUUUUUGUUUUUGCGAUCACGCAAUCAAUACGACUUUCAACAACGGAUCUCUUGGCUCUC
rnacentral:misc_RNA from 1 species